AAACAAACUAGCAUCUUUUCUCUUAUUAAUUAAAUAUAAUUUUAUCAAAUUAUUUCUCACAAUAUCUUUUUAUUGUUGCUUUAAAGCAAACUACAAUUGCUUUAAUUUAUUUAAAAUUAUUCAACAUAUUCAGACUUUAAUUGUAAACAAUUUUAAAGAUUUAAAUAAUUCAUUUCCAUAUAUUGAAAAAAAAAAACAAGGAAAUAAAUUUCCCUGAAUGCGUACCAACACAAAUGCAAGUCCACUAUCAAACUCCCACAUUGACUUCAAUAAUUACACAUUAAAUCAUAUACAGUUUGUACCAUCAAGCUUCAGUUUCUAUAGAACUUCCUUGAAAUUUUAUCUCUAUUUUUUGCAUCAUGUCAGCAUUAAUAAAAACCAUGGCCACUUCUCCUAAAAAACAUGAUAGUUCAUCAUGCCAAAAUUAAAGUUACUUGCAUAUUUCACAAAUUGUUUAGAUCAAUAAAAUUCAGUAAAGAUAAAACUAUGCCUUUCAAUGAAAUAAAGACGAUUGGUCAUUAUUAAAAAAACAAAUCCCUGUAUUAAAAUUGUGCUUAUUUUUAUAAAAAAAAAUAAAA
rnacentral:lncRNA from 1 species